CCUACGGGAGGCAGCAGUGGGGAAUAUUGCACAAUGGGGGAAACCCUGAUGCAGCGACGCCGCGUGAGUGAAGAAGUAUUUCGGUAUGUAAAGCUCUAUCAGCAGGGAAGAAGAAAGACGGUACCUGACUAAGAAGCCCCGGCUAACUACGUGCCAGCAGCCGCGGUAAUACGUAGGGGGCAAGCGUUAUCCGGAUUUACUGGGUGUAAAGGGAGCGUAGACGGGUGUGUAAGGCUGAAGGGAAAGCCCAGGGCUCAAACCUGGGACUGCUGUGGAAACUGGGGGGCUAGAGUGCUGGAGAGGUAAGUGGAAUGCCUGGUGUAGCGGUGAAAUGCGUAGAUAUUAGGAAGAACUCCAGUGGCGAAGGCGGCUUACUGGACAGUAACUGACGUUGAGGCUCGAAAGCGUGGGGAGCAAACAGGAUUAGAUACCCUUGUAGUC
rnacentral:rRNA from 1 species